GGAGCCGUGCCUGAAACAAAGGGCCACUUUGAUAGAGUGAACCAUGGGGGUUAAAGUCCCCCCGCCUCCU
rnacentral:tRNA from 1 species